CGAUUUGAGAUCUAGUGGCUGCAGAGAGAGGUGCGAUCAAUUUGCGAAUUAACGCCUGCAUUAGCCUUAGUAAUCCUUGAUUUUUUUUUUCAAAUUACCCCCUCCCCAAAUCUGCUCUCGCAUCCAGUCCUCGUGACCCAGAAGUCGUCCUCGCAACCCUACGACUCAUCCACCGCCGCUGAUCCAGCCGGUCGCCGGAGGAGCCUGCAAGAGGAGCGCCCCCAGAGGAGUAGCCGCGCCGCAGGAGGAGUAGCUCACGCCGCCUGACCGCCCAGCCGGAGGAGCGCCGCCGGAGGAGCCACCCUGCAGGAGGAGCAUCGCUGGAGGAGGAGCCAACCCCUUACGCUCUUUUCCACCACGUCCGCUGUGCCGGUCCGGAGUCGGGCCCGCCCAGCAACGCCCGCAUACAGGAGAAGCACUACAUCAUGGCCACCAUGCUCAGAGUUGUUUUUCAGAGAGAUGCAGCUAGUUUGUGAUCUGUGUGCUUCAGAGUUGUUUGAUGCAGCUAGCUUCAGAGAUGUUUCUCGGCUUCAGAGUUUGCAGGUUCUAUGUGCUGGGUGCUAUGUAAUGCCAAUGGCAAUUGUGCCUUCUGUGUGCCUGUGUGUAAUAUCUUGUAUUGUCUGAAGAUUGAAAAAAUAUUGAGAGUACAGACAGUGUAAGGCCAAUAGCAAUUGUGCCUUCUGUGUGUAUAUGUGUACUGUGUGGAUGAAUUUGCAAUGGAAUGAACUGAAAUCGUGUCUAUGGUGAUCUCAAA
rnacentral:lncRNA from 1 species